CUCUCCUCCUCCUCCCCCUCCCGCAGCGGGCCCUGGGUGUCCUUGGAAGGAAAGGACUUCCUCAGACGGGGACAGGAGGCGCCACACAGGGUUGGUCCAGUGCUUUGACAGCCACCUCAAGGAGAGGCUUUCUAACUGCAGUUAAGCCACCGCCUGCGAUGUCAGCAUCCCUUAUCAGAGCACGGAGCCACUUCCAUUUCAGCUCCCUGCUAACGCACCUGGGAAAGCAGGGGAAGAUGGCCCAAGUCCUUGGGCCCCUGCACCCACGUGGGAGACCCGGAUGAAGCUCCUGGCUCCUGGCUUCGGAUCGGCCCAAUUCCAGCCGUUGCAGCCAUCUAGGGAG